AAAGUACUCCCUCCGUCCCAAAAAAUUUUGUCUUAGAUUUGUCUAGAUACGGAUGUAUCAAGUCACAUUUUAGUAUUAGAUACAUCCGUAUCUAGACAAAUCUAAGACAAGAAAUUUGGGACAGAGGGAGUAGUUG
rnacentral:pre_miRNA from 1 species